GACGAACGCUGGCGGCGUGCUUAACACAUGCAAGUCGAACGGAAAGGCCCUGCUUUUGUGGGGUGCUCGAGUGGCGAACGGGUGGGUCACACGUGAGUAACCUGCCCUUGACUUUGGUAUAACUUCAGGAAACUGGGGCUAAUACCGGAUAGGAGCUCCUGCUGCAUGGUGGGGGUUGGAUAGUUUCGGCGGUUGGGGAUGUACUCGCGGCUUAUCAGCUUGUUGGUGGGGUAGUGGCUUACUAAGGCUUUGACGGGUAGCCGGCCUGAGAGGGUGACCGGCCACAUUGGGACUGAGAUACGGCCCAGACUCCUACGGGAGGCAGCAGUGGGGAAUAUUGCACAAUGGGCGGAAGCCUGAUGCAGCAACGCCGCGUGCGGGAUGACGGCCUUCGGGUUGUAAACCGCUUUCGCCUGUGACGAAGCGUGAGUGACGGUAAUGGGUAAAGAAGCACCGGCUAACUACGUG
rnacentral:rRNA from 1 species